rnacentral:rRNA from 1 species
CCUACGUGUGGCAGCAGUGGGGAAUAUUGCACAAUGGGGGAAACCCUGAUGCAGCGACGCCGCGUGGGCGAAGAAGUAUUUCGGUAUGUAAAGCCCUAUCAGCAGGGAAGAAAAAAUGACUGUACCUGUGUAACAAGCACCGUCUCAAUACGUGCCAGCCGCCGCGGUAAUACGUAGGGUGCAAGAGUUAUCCGUAUUUACUGGGUGUAAAGGGAGCGUAGGCGUCACGAGAAGCCUGAGGUGAAUGCCCGCGGCUCAACCGCGGAAUUGAAGUGGGCACUGGCGGGCUGGAGUGCAGGAGAGGUAGGCGGAAUGCGUAGUGUAGCGGUGAAAUGCGUAGAUAUGAGGAGGAACACCAGUGGCGAAGGCGGCUUACUGGACGGUAACUGACGCUGAGGCUCGAAAGCGUGGGGAGCAAACAGGAUUAGAUACCCCUGUAGUC